UACGGGGGGUGCAAGCGUUGUCCGGAUUUACUGGGCGUAAAGGGCGCGUAGGCGGUUGUAUCAGUCGGGCUUAUAAGUGCGGGGCUCAACCCCGUGAUGGGUUCGGGACGGUAUGACUGGGGCGCGGUCGAGGGAGACGGAAUGCCGGGUGUAGUGGUGAAAUGCGUAGAGAUCCGGCGGAACACCGGUGGCGAAGGCGGCCCCCUGGACCGGUACUGACGCUGAGGCGCGAAAGCGUGGGUAGCAAACGGG
rnacentral:rRNA from 1 species